rnacentral:rRNA from 1 species
GACGAACGCUGGCGGCGUGCCUAAUACAUGCAAGUAGGACGCAGUUGCGAACGGGUAAGUAACGCGUAGGUAACUGCCUCUUAGCGGGGGAUAACUAUUGGAACCGAUAGCUAAUACCGCCUCCUAGUAGGUGGACCUGCGUUGUAUUAGCUAGUAGGUAGGGGAAUUGCCUACCUAGGCUACGAUACAUAGCCGACGUGAGAGGGGGACAGGCACCACUGGGACUGAGACACGGCCCAGACCCCUAAGGGAGGCAGCAGUAGGGAAUCUUCGGCAAUGGGGGGAACCCUGACCGAGCAACGCCGCGUGAGUGAAGAAGGUUUUCGGAUCGUAAAGCUCUGUUGUUAAGGAAGCGGUACUUAACCAGAAAGGGACGGCUAACUACGUGCCAGCAGCCGCGGUAAAAC